rnacentral:rRNA from 1 species
GUUUGUGGCUAUGCCACCCUAAAUGUGCCUGACACUGUUUUACCUCAGGAGCUAAGCAGGGCCAGGCAUAGUAUUACUUAGCAUUUGCAAAGGAAAAUGUUCACUUAAUCA